GGAGCUGUGGCCUAAUGGUAGAGGGCCUGGUUCGAAAAGCGCAACAGGCCUGCAACCUGGGUUCGAAUCCCAGGUAAGCCA